rnacentral:rRNA from 1 species
AGCGAACGCUGGCGGCAGGCCUAACACAUGCAAGUCGAACGAACCUUUCGGGGUUAGUGGCGGACGGGUGAGUAACACGUGGGAACGUGCCUUUAGGUUCGGAAUAACUCAGGGAAACUUGUGCUAAUACCGAAUGUGCCCUUCGGGGGAAAGAUUUAUCGCCUUUAGAGCGGCCCGCGUCUGAUUAGCUAGUUGGUUGAGGUAAUGGCUCACCAAGGCAACGAUCAGUAGCUGGUCUGAGAGGAUGAUCAGCCACAUUGGGACUGAGACACGGCCCAAACUCCUACGGGAGGCAGCAGUGGGGAAUCUUGCGCAAUGGGCGAAAGCCUGACGCAGCCAUGCCGCGUGAAUGAUGAAGGUCUUAGGAUUGUAAAAUUCUUUCACCGGGGACGAUAAUGACGGUACCCGGAGAAGAAGCCCCGGCUAACUUCGUG